UGGGGAAUCUUGCGCAAUGGGGGAAACCCCGACGCAGCGACGCCGCGUGAAGGAAGAAGGCCUUCGGGUUGUAAACUUCUUUUAUGGGGGAAAAGAGAGGAUGGUACCCCAGGAAUAAGCCCCGGCUAACUACGUGCCAGCAGCCGCGGUAAAGACGUAGGGGGCAAGCGUUGCUCGGAAUCACUGGGCUUAAAGGGCGAGUAGGCGGUGGUACAAGUUCAGGGUAGAAGGCCCUGGCUCAACCAGGGAGAUGCCCUGAAGACUGUAUCACUUGAGUAAGCGAGGGGAGGGCGGAAUUCCCGGUGUAGCGGUGAAAUGCGUAGAUAUCGGGAGGAAGGCCUGUGGCGAAGGCGGCCCUCUGGCGCUUGACUGACGCUGAAUCGCGAAAGCGUGGGGAGCAAACA
rnacentral:rRNA from 1 species